AUUUGAUUUGACACUUGACGACGUAGCCCGCCACCUCCCCGCCCAGAUUUUUCUGUGACAUCCUUAAUAACUAUUGUUGUCUAAUAUAGCACUAUUCGGACAGGAUAAAAUUUUCACCUGUCCCUGUCCGAUUUUGUUUCUCUCCGUUUCGGACAUGUCUUUUAUUUUUUAUUUUUUAUUUUUUUAUUUUCUCCGUCCUCCUCUGAGAAAACUACAGGCCUACCGCUCGUCUGAAUUUUUCGUCCGUAUGUUUCUGUAGUUUCAGUGUAUUUUGGAGCGAUAACGCAGUGUUUUUGCCGAGAACACAGAACGCGUAAAAGUUGGCAGGUCUGAUAACAUGAACGUAACCUAAUAUCACGUAGAGACGAUAAUAUUGUAAUAUCGCACAAGCCUGAAGAAAUCCACUGAUGUUCUGCUCAGUGCUCGCGAGCUGUAGUGUUAGGCACAUUUACAAUCGAACUGUAAUUUAUACGGAUAAGAGCCAGUGCACCACUAGCGUAAGUCUGCACAUAGCUAAAGGCUCCACAUGCAUCAAUUUGUGUUCCCUUUAAGGGCUGCAAUCAAGUUCAACACGGCUGUCUGUCGUAUCAGGACGUACACAGGUACUCGAAUCAUUUUGAAAGUUGGUGGAGGAAGAGAAACGCCAGAGGAUUGCAUUUUGCACUGAACUGUACAUAAAGGCAGUACGAGUGUAUUUAUCAGCGUACGACUGCUGUAGAUGUUUUCGUUGCACCUUCCUCAUCCGAGGACUUUUUUUUUUUUUUUUUUUUUUUCCACCAUGAAAAUCAGUGCCUGUUCUGUUGGACUUAUUAAUCCCAGACUCCUUAUUUAUUAAAGCGGGAGUAUACUGGGAGUAUACUGUACCCCCCUGUGUUUCUCUUCCUGUACAUUUAUUGUUUAUACGUUUGCGCUAUCAGGGAAGUCCGAUGAGUGACGGUUUGAUGCCUGGGAUUACAAACGAGACGUCCGGGUUGUUCUGUUGCCACAAAAACAACAACUACUUUUAGCAGUCGUAGUCCUGCAUUCAGGAGGCUUUGGUGCUGCGUUAUAAAUUUAAAAGACUAUAAUUCUAUGCUAUUUAUGCAGAAUGGUAUGGUUCUGGCGUUUAUAGUGGCAUUUUAUUUGUACUUUUGUGGUUGUUGGUUUGGUUUUUUUGGUUUACAGAUCAGAUUUAGAUUUUUUUAUUUAUUUUUUUUAAAAUACUGAUUCUUAAAGUGCACCUAUUAUGGUUUUUCAAAUAUUACCUUUCAUGUAGUGUGUUUAUAUAUGUAGCUGUUUGUGAAUGUAAAAAAGUUUGCAAAGUUUCAAAAAUCAAAGAGCACGACGAACUGAGUUAUCGACUCCCAAAAGAAGGAACCGAUUCUGAACAGCUGAAACGAGUCGUUACUGAUUCCAGAUUUUACUUCGUGUACUAACCUACAUAGGUUUGUAACAAAAAACCCCACCUCUGGCCUUCAUUCACUGCUCACUGACAGCCGUAGACCAAUCACAACAGACUGGGACAUCUGACCAAUCAGAGCAGAGUAUGCUUUCUGAAAGAAGUAGUUUAGAACGAAUCUUUUAGAACGGAUCAUUUAAUGAGUUGUUUGUGACACUGCGGGAAAAAAUGUAAUGCUGCAAUUUAAAUUAUGAGCACGUUAAAGUGUUUUUUGACCUCGGAUGCACGUAAAUCUAUUGUAUGAGAGUUUUAAAACAAAAUUAGGCACGUUUCGAAACCAUGAUAGGUGCGCUUUAAAAAUCAGAAAAGGGUACACUUUAUUUGCUACACAUUUGGGUUUUUUUCAUGUCGUUUUGUGGAAUUUAGCAGGGUUUUUUAUGUCUUUUUUUUUUAUAUAGAUUUAGUGAAAUCCUCUGUAAGAUCUAUAAAUGCAGUCUGAAACACAACGACAUGCUGUAUCAGUCAUAAUUAACACGUGGAUGUGGGUUUCUCCAGACGGAAUUUGUACAAUUCUACCUGCUCUGUGGCCGAAUACAACUGUGAUGUACAGAUAUUCAGAAAGUAACUUAAUGUUACAAAGAUACAGCUUUUUAUAUUUUUAUUCUUCUAUAAGAUUAUUCGCUGACCAUGGUUCAGCCUUACUGUUGUUUGUGUUUUUAAUUUAAAUUCUAAUAUAUGGAUGGUGUUUUGUUUUAAGAGAUCGCGCGAGUUCAGGGGCCGUCGUGUAUGUCCUGAGAUGUUAAAGCCUUUGAAUGUGAAAAAAAAAGAGUUGUAAGCUGUUUAUCUUUUGCUACCUUCUCAUUUCAUUGUAUAUUUUCUGUUUUGUUAUUAAAUUAAUUAUGUCCAAUUUGGGUUUUUUUUUUUUUUUUUUUUUUUAAAUGUUUAAUCUCCUGGGUUUUGCGUGUUAUUUAAAGAUUGAUGUAGGAAUGUGUCACGUGACCACAUGGCGACUCCUGUAAUAAAGGCAUGUACAGUAUGUUUAUUAUUUCUGAUUAUUUUUAACGCAGUAUUAAAGCCGGAGUUUUCCUCCGUAGGUCUCGUAUUUAACUGGAAAAGUGCAGUUCCUGGAAACUCUACUGGUCCCUACUGGUAAUUCUAUUGGUGGCAUGUCAUGUCUAGUGGAUACCAUUAUGGACCAAUAGAACACUUUUUGACAUUUGGGGCAGCAAGUAUUGCUAGAGCAUUCCU
ensembl:lncRNA